CAUGGCCAGCUCUUCUGCAGAGGAGAAGGCUUCGGCCCGCUCGAGGCUCCCGUCGCUCCAGCACCGACGGCAACCCUCGUACCCUUUUUCGGUUUCUAUUAGGCUGCAGGCUGCCAUCUACGUUUUUCAGAUUGGUUGUCUCUCCUCCUAGAGCUAGGCACGCAAAUGCUUCAGAUCGGCUCCAUCUCUCCUCCCGCUCGAUUUCAGGUCGUCGCCGGAGGUGCUCCAACCGGCGACCGGCAACCGGCGCCACCGGAAGCUGCGCCCGCUGCCCCAGAACUGCAACUCGUCGCGACGAGGAGCUCCAACCCUGGGAGGGCGCGCCGCUACAUGCGAGAGAGUUGGCGAGAAACAGAAGAGACAACAGCGGUGAGUCAGGGUGGACACGGUCCGGGCCGGUCCGGGCCCUGACCGAGCCGCUGUUUUGACCGGCCGCCGGCGAGCCGGACCGGACCGGACCGACCAGCUGGCCGGUCUUGAUUUCAGGGACCGGACCGCUGGCGCUCAAGCCCGGGCCGGACCGAGAGGACCGGCCGUGGUCACCAUCGUUGAGGGUAGAGCACGGACGGCGGCUUGCCGGACGGACCAGGAAGAGGGACAGGGGACUCCAUGGUCGAGAUCGGCGAUGAUGCACACCGGCAGAGACGAGAUGUGGCGGCGCGCACGACUGUUAGCCAGGAACCUGUGCCUUUUCUUCCUUAGCAGUUUUUUGUCUUACAUGCAAGUAAUGUAAUGGGUGCAUGAGCCCACGAUUGGCUGUCUGCGGGCCUUGCCGUGAUUAUUGGAACAAAUUUGACGUGGAGUUAA